UACAGAGGUCUCAAGCGUUGUUCGGAUUCAUUGGGCGUAAAGGGUGCGUAGGCGGCGCGGUAAGUCGGGUGUGAAAUCUUGGAGCUUAACUCCGAAACUGCAUUCGAUACUGCCAUGCUUGAGGACUGGAGAGGAGACUGGAAUUUACGGUGUAGCGGUGAAAUGCGUAGAUAUCGUAAGGAAGACCAGUGGCGAAGGCGGGUCUCUGGACAGUUCCUGACGCUGAGGCACGAAGGUCAGGGGAGCAAACGGG
rnacentral:rRNA from 1 species